GGGAUUAUUCAGUCGGGAGGUCGCGGACGCAGAGUGUGGAAUGACCAGAAUGGUUCUCCGGACGGAGCCGUCCACGCCUUGCGCUUUCGUGCCACCCGACGCAUUUGUUUCCCGUCCAGAGGACGCCGCAACCGGUUGGAGAACGGCCUUAAGGGCAGACGAUGGCAGGUGGCCGGUGAUUUUUCCCUCGGGAGAGUCUGCCGGUUGUUAGCCGGUUUCUGUCGCACGGCUCGUGAUCCGACCGUGGUGUCGCGAGACCCCUAGCGGGUCUCUUCGCCUCCUCCUUUCGCGGGAAGCCGGGAAUUGGCGGCACGGUCCCUCCCCCCUGCGGGCGCACUGACUGACUCAGUGGCCCAGCUAUCGGGAGGUCCGGUUGGUAGCCUUUUACCCGUUGGAGUGUCGGCGGUUAGCGGCGAGUAGAUCGGUCACCCACCCGACCCGUCUUGAAACACGGACCAAGGAGUCUAACAUGUGUGCGAGUCAAUGGGUCUCGAAUAAGCCCAGAGGCGCAAUGAAAGCAAAGGCCGGACUUGACUUCGGCUGUGUUGGGAUCCUCCUCUUGUAAAAUGGGGGAGGCGCACCAACGACCCGUCCCAUCCGAUUUAUCGGUGGGGCGGAGUCUGAGCAUACACGUUGGUACCCGAAAGAUGGUGAGCUAUGCCCGGGCAGGACGAAGCCAGAGG
rnacentral:rRNA from 2 species